rnacentral:tRNA from 1 species
AGCUCAGUUGGGAGAGCACCGCCCUUACAAGGCGGGGGUCACUGGUUCAAGCCC